GGCACCCCCGGCAGGCCUCCUCCCGGCAGCUGCACCUGCACGCACACACGCAUCGAGCCGGGAGAUUUAGAAUCCAGCUCAGAUUUCGCUUGCUUUCUCCCGCGGCGUCCCCUCUCUCCGCGCUGGUGAGCCCCCGCGGGCGACGUGUGUCCCGCGAGGGUUUCCUUGCCUUCGACGGCCAUCUGUUCGCCUCGCAUGGCUUCCCCACGCCAAGCGUCCUCGCCUCGUCCCGGGAGCGCGCCUCCGCUCGCCAGGCGGCCGACCGCCGCGCCGUCCAGCCCAGAUCCGCGCGCGCCCCGCUAAUCGCCGCGCCGCAUCCUGCUCGAUUCCAUCUCUAAUAGCUGCUCACACGCAUCCGCCGGCUCGGUGUUGCCUUCUCCGAUCCCUCCUUCCAUUCUGUAUAGCUUGUAGCCUCCCACCCCAAAAAAUAGAAGAUCAGAAUGGCUCGCAUCUCUCGAGCCGCAGCGGCGCGCCGACGUCGUCUCAGAUUAAUGCAAGGGGCGGUGACAAGCUAGAGGCAGCAACUGCAUAUCUUGCAAGAAAAUUGUAAUGAACAAACUGAUCAUAGAGAUGUGAUUAGCAUCCAGACCUUCUUUGAGCGAACCCCACGCAGGCUUGUUUCCAACUGAUUCUCUAGGGACUGCAGUUCCUUAACAUUAAGCCCAGAAAGAUCCUCUCCCGUCAACUGCCUGUAACCAAUUGAUAUGGUUUCUGGAUCAUACCUAUGAUUUUCUUGCAAGUUGUGCAGUUGUUGUCUCAAGCUUGCUGCCUCCCUUUGCCAAAACUAUCAGGAAAAGCACAGGUUAUGUUAUUGAUGAACUCAUAGGUCAAAAUUAAAUUAAUAAUCAUGUGUCUGUAACAAGCAGGACGUUACGUUAAUGAAAUCUUGUAGCAUGAAGUAACAUUUCGCAGCACUAUACUUAAACAGCAGAUAUUAGGUUCAAAACUUUGUUGUCCAUAUUUGCAAUGUGGAGGCUAUCUUAUGGUUUUGAAAGCUUUGGAUCAUCAAGCAGUACGUCAAGGUGGUGCUAGUGAGCUAGCAAACUAUUUUGGCUGACACUGUUGCCACUAUGCAGUGGCAAGCAAACUCCAUGAAGAAACAAAGGUGCACCAAACACUUGUCUGGCCGUGGGAUUCUUCUGUAGUUAAUGUUCAGAGUGCUCAAUAUCUACACUGCGGUCGGAGGUAUGGGAAUAAACGGGAGUUCAGUUGCAUUUGAACUGUCCUGCUAUAUCUUUGAGGGCAGUUUCUGGUGUAGCCUAUUGGGUGGUCUAUGGAAGUACUAGAAAUUAUACAUUCCCGUAUCAACCAAGCUCAAGUGGCAAACGUGUCUAAAAAAACUCAAGUAGCAAAGAGGCACUUUCCAGUUAAAGUAAAAUGCUGAUUAAGGCAUGUUUUGGUGUUGGAAGAAUUCAAGUUCGUUUGCUGCUCUGUUAUGUGUUGGACCUCCUAAUUAGUUCAUGAUGCUUCGUCUGUGAAGCAGGCUUUUCUAGUGUAGGAACUUGUAAAUUUUGCUUUGAGAAGUAUAUGAAGGAAAGGACAUGCGUCUUUUGAGAUGUCUUCCCCCUUUUGUGCUUCAUUCAAAUCCUCUGUAGAUCUUUUAAAAAAUUACAUUUGAUUAAAAGACAAGACCAAA